UUCCUAGUGGCGCAAUGGCAGCGCGUCUGACUUCUACUCCGAUAGUAUGAGCCAAUCAGAAGGUUUGCGGGUUCAAGUCCCGUCUAGGAAA
rnacentral:tRNA from 1 species